rnacentral:lncRNA from 1 species
CCGUGCCUGUUCCUCCCUGACCCAGAAACCCAAGAGGUGGCGUUUCUGAAGCAUCUGUCUAACCGAUGGAGUCGAAAACUGGGGCAGGCUCAUUUGUUUGUGUGAUGUUGAUUGCCAACGGUUAAUCACCAAGGGUAAGUGGAAGAAAUCAUUCCUGUUCAUUUGCAAAUGGAAAUCAGAUGGGGACUGGGCUUAAAUGCAUCAGCGUUUUCACUUCCAAAUGAAAGGGUUUCAGAAAGACAGCUGACCUUGGGUUGCCUGUCAGACACCUGCCGGCACUCGGGGCGUCCUGUGCCUUUUCCAGACGUUCUAGGGCCCUGCCAUUCCUCUAUCUUGAAGACAGACCCAUUUAGUUUGGAAAGUAGGAAGCGUCUCGGGUGCUGUGAAGUCUCAGGCACAUACAAACAGCCACUUCUCCCUUUUUAUUACUCUGCAGGGACCGGGAGAUGCCUUUCACCUCGCUUAAGGAGCCUGAGCAAAUUAUGCUGAAAUCCUUCCAAGGGUUGAAAUAUGUUUAUAAAUUCUCCUGGCUGAACUGUUGGCCCCAAGAAGUCUACAAUAAGAAAGCACUUACGUGUUGGGUGGGUCCUUUCUCCUCCACCCCCUUAAACGUGCAAUGUUUUCUGUUUACGGGGCGGCGUGUCAAUGCUGCGUUUUCGUCCUGCAUUUACCACCCUCAAGAGCGUGUGCAUCAAGCCCUGAAGUAAUAGCCCCGUGUAUCAGAUGUGUAAUGAAUUUCUCCCCUUGCCGGUGGAUUCAUUACCGUGAUUUAUGGCUGUUUUAAUGUACACAGCCUUCUUAAACAA